CAGUAGCCGCGGUAAUACGAAGGGUGCAAGCGUUACUCGGAAUUACUGGGCGUAAAGCGUGCGUAGGUGGUGGUUUAAGUCCGUUGUGAAAGCCCUGGGCUCAGCCUGGGAAUUGCAGUGGAUACUGGGUCACUAGAGUGUGGUAGAGGAUAGUGGAAUUUCCGGUGUAGCAGUGAAAUGCGUAGAGAUCGGAAGGAACAUCUGUGGCGAAGGCGACUAUCUGGGCCAACACUGACACUGAGGCACGAAAGCGUGGGGAGCAAACAGGAUUAGAUACCCCCGUAGUCCCUGUCUCUUAUAC
rnacentral:rRNA from 1 species